rnacentral:rRNA from 1 species
UACGUAGGGGGCUAGCGUUGUCCGGAUUUAUUGGGCGUAAAGAGCGUGUAGGCGGCCAGAUAGGUCUGCUGUGAAAACUCGAGGCUUAACCUCGAGAUGUCAUCGGAAACCAUCUGGCUAGAGUCCGGGAAGAGGAGAGUGGAAUUCCUGGUGUAGCGGUGAAAUGCGCAGAUAUCAGGAGGAACACCGGUGGCGAAGGCGGGUCUCUGGGCAGUAACUGACGCUGAGGAGCGAAAGCGUGGGGAGCGAACAGG